CUGGUUGAUCCUGCCAGACCCGACUGCUAUCGGAUUGGGACUAAGCCAUGCGAGUCAACUCCGCAAGGGGUGGCGCACGGCUCAGUAACACGUAGUCAACCUACCCUGGGGACGGGGAUAACCUCGGGAAACUGAGGCUAAACCCCGAUGGGCCAUGGCUCCUGGAAUGGGCUAUGGCUGAAAUCUACAUGGCCCCAGGAUGGGACUGCGGCCGAUCAGGUUGUUGGUGGGGUAAUGGCCCACCAAGCCUAUAACCGGUGCGGGCUCUGAGGGGAGGAGCCCGGAGAUAGGCACUGAGACAAGGGCCCAGGUCCUAUGGGGCGCAGCAGGCGCGAAACCUCCGCAAUGGGCGAAAGCCCGACGGGGUCAGUCCGAGUGGUUCCCGCUGAGGGAACCUUUUGCCAGCUGUAAACAGGCUGGCGAAUAAGGGGUGGGCAAGUUUGGUGUCAGCCGCCGCGGUAAUACCAGCACCCCGAGUGGUCGGGACGAUUAUUGGGCCUAAAGCAUCCGUAGCCGGCCCAGUAAGUCCUCCGUUAAAUCCAACGGCUCAACCGUUGGGCUGCGGGGGAUACUGCUGGGCUAGGGGACGGGAGAGGCGAGGGGUAUUCCCGGGGUAGGGGUAAAAUCCACUGAUCCCGGGAGGACCACCAGUGGCGAAGGCGCCUCGCUAGAACGUGCCCGACGGUGAGGGAUGAAAGCUGGGGGAGCGAACCGGAUUAGAUACCCGGGUAGUCCCAGCCGUAAACGAUGUAGGCUCGGUGUUGGGCUGCCUCAGUGGCAGCCCAGUGCCGCAGGGAAGCCGUUAAGCCUACCGCCUGGGGAGUACGGCCGCAAGGCUGAAACUUAAAGGAAUUGGCGGGGGAGCACCAC
rnacentral:rRNA from 1 species